AGAGUUUGAUCAUGGCUCAGACGACGCUGGCGGCAGCUUACACAUGCAAGUCGAACGCAUCCUUCGGGAUGAGUGGCAGACGGGUGAGUAACGCGUGGGAACGUCCCUUCAGUUCGGAAUAACCAGGGAAACUUGGGCUAAUACGGAUACGUGCGAGAGCAGAAAGAUUUAUCGCUGAAGGAUCGGCCCGCGUCUGAUUAGCUAGUUGGUGGGGUAAUGGCCCACCAAGGGCGAUCAGUAGCUGGUCUGAGAGGAUGAUCAGCCACAUUGGGACUGAGACACGGCCCAAACUCCUACGGAGGCAGCAGUGGGGAAUAUUGGACAAUGGGCGCAAGCCUGAUCCAGCCAUGCCGCGUGAGUGAUGAAGGCCUUAGGGUUGUAAAGCUCUUUCAGUGGGGACGAUAAUGACGGUACCCGCAGAAGAAGCCCCGGCUAACUUCGUGCCAGCAGCCGCGGUAAUACGAAGGGGGCUAGCGUUGUUCGGAAUCACUGGGCGUAAAGGGCGCGUAGGCGGCUUUGUAAGUCGGGGGUGAAAGCCUGUGGCUCAACCACAGAAUUGCCUUCGAUACUGCAUGGCUUGAGACCGGAAGAGGUUAGUGGAACUGCGAGUGUAGAGGUGAAAUUCGUAGAUAUUCGCGAACACCAGUGGCGAAGGCGGCUGACUGGUCCGGUUCUGACGCUGAGGCGCGAAAGCGUGGGAGCAAACAGGAUUAGAUACCCUAGUAGUCC
rnacentral:rRNA from 1 species